CGGCGCGCCGCGUAUUUAGGGGGAUCCCGGCGGGAAUCGGCCUUUCCCCUUCCAACGGGCACGGAACUGGAGCGGCUGCGCCUGCCCGCCUCUGUUCGGGGCAAAAAGUGAAGGUCAAGAUGAGUUUGUUGCUGGCUUUGGGAAUCCUCAGUCUGGACUCUGCCAUGCCUUGCAAGCAGAAAGAUGCCACGUGAAUUCUGGGGCUACAGAAGUUCUGUGACAUCAUAUGACCACUUCCACUGUCUUCCAGCCUUGUGCCAGCAGGAGAGCCCAUCCACUUGUGGAAGUGUGGGUGUUUAAGGAGCUUGAAAACAGCAGCCUGGAAGGUGGAGUUCUAAUGCACUUGGAAAUGCUUCCAUUGCCCUUCUGCUCGUCAGAAAUCCUGCUUGGUUCCACAGUACAGCGGGGAGUAACUGUUGGCUGAAAAUUAAUAAUCCUGGAAUGAAGUUUGGGGUAGAGUGUCACUCUAGAAAGAGAAGCGGCCUUCUGGGCAGUCUGAAGACUUAGUAUCAAUUUUUGAGUGUAUCAAAUAAAUGGAUCCAAAGUGAAUAAGGCAAAGAUUAAAAUGUGAGAAAAAUAAAAUCUUGGAUUUCUGUUUUCAGUGGCUUAUUUUUUAGUUGAGGCUAUGGGAGCAGUAGCACUCUGAUCCUGCUGGAUGACAUCCUGAGCAUGAGUAACACAAGCCUUAAUUAUUCAGCUUGUUCAGAUUUGACAGAGGUCUGGACAAUUUUACUGCAGCUUUUUAUUUUUAAGAUAUAUCUCUUGGAUGUAAGGCUUGCUGAGGAUUAUUCCUACUGCUGUCUCCUUACUAGGAAGAUGAAACACAGGAAAGCCUGUAGCUGGGGAACCAUAGGGUUCCAAAAACUCAUCUCCUACCACAUGUUCUUCAUUUGUUUUUACAGUGAGGUAUACAGAGCUGAACUCAUUCAGCUGCCUGCUUACCAGGUUGUCUAAUAUUCUUUUACCUAACUGUAGCACUCUACUAUCCCCUGCAGUCUAUAUAAAAUAAUGUGGAAACACUGGGUUUUGCAGGUUGGGGUGGUUUGGUGGGUUUCUUUUGUGGUUUGUUUUGUAGGCUUUUUUGUUUUGUUUGGGUUUUGGCUGCAGGAGCAUCUGGCAUCCUUGUCUAAUCUUGUGUUGCUGUAGUGUAAAAAAAAGACACAGAACAUGAAGCAGUAUGAUAAUACUUUUAUACAUUUCAAAACCCAUACAACAUGAGUAAGUAAAGACUGACUUAAACUAUGAAAAUAAGAUUUUUAAUGUUUUAAAAACUCCUUAACCCUUUUGGUGAGUGAUACAUUUGAAAGGAAGCAACAAGAAAAACUGCUGAAAUGAAACAUUCAAUUCUGAACUGAUGGUUUAAUUUAUAGUUGUAAUCUUAUUAAAAAUUGUGAAUCCUAAAUUACUCCUUGCUUAGCUGUUAAUGGAGAGUGGUAGCCAGGAAGAGAAUACAGCCCCCUGGUUGGGGCUGUAUUCUGAAGCCAUGACUUUCCAGGAUGAAGACAUCCCUCCUGCAUUCAAAUAACUCCAGAAACUUGUAAUUCAAGUCCUGUCAGCUAUGCUUUAUUCCUUGGUAAAACAUCACUGAACUGUCUUCUGUUUUAAGUAAUUUUGGAUUUCUAACUGUAGCCUCUCAAAAAGCCAAAGUCUCAGGCU